rnacentral:lncRNA from 1 species
CAACAGGCGCCCGCCACCACGCCCGGAGAAUUUGUUGUAUUUUUAGUAGAGACGGGGUUUCACCGUGUUAGCCAGGAUGGUCUCGAUCUCCUGACCUCGUGAUCCACCCUCCUCGGCCUUCCAAAGUGCUGGGAUUACAGGCGAGAGCCACCGCGCCCGGCCAAACAACAAUUUGGCAUGCAAACACGUGGGGCCUCAGAGAAGACUCAGGACCUUGAAGGAGUUGCCCAACUCAGAGCUAUGGUACUAGCAGGGGUCCACUGAAGCCUCCGCAAGUUGCAGCUUCUCCUCUGGUAAAACUGGAAAUGUUAAUUGGACAUGCUAAAUGGGAACUAGUAAAAUCGCCUCAGCCCACAAAGUAUAGGGUAGAAGCUGGAGUGCUAAUCAGGACAGAUCCUCCACUGCACAGUCCUUUGUGUGGAGCAUUUAUCAGGGAUAAUGGCAAAAAAACGGAAACAAAAAUCAUGGCAUUUUGAAGACCAGAGAUAUGAAUCUCCUUCAUCUGGCGUCCCACUGGGCUGGAAUCCUUUUCACUGAGAAAGCUCUGCUUCUAAAACUAUACAAGCACCCUCCCUCUAGGCUCAGGGACUGUUGCAGAGAAGGUGGGCCCAUAAGAUAAUAAGGACCAGUUACGAGCGAUAAAAUUAGGUCAAGAUCAAACCUCCAAAUCAAGAAGGGGUACAAAGAUGCCUAAACAACUGGUAAAGCACCUUUAGUUGCCUUCUAAAUGAUUAUGUGUCACUUUUCAUCCACCCCAACUAUAGAGUGUUUUCUGCUUACAAUAGAAUUAAAGGAAAAUAUUUACUAACAGAAUAUAGAUACCUUGUAACAAAGCCUCCUGGAUAUAAUACUCCCAGUCAUGAGUUGUGAAGAUAAAUAUAGAUAUACAGAGAUAUAUACACAUAUUUUAAAUUAUUUUUAGAACAAUGCUUUUGUUUUGUAUAGCUAAUUGCUAUAAGCCUGUAACAAAAAACAAGCUUACAGUAUCUCAACACAUAGAAGUUAAAAAUAAAUCAGUCUUAUAAAUUUGCCUUUUUGUUUUGUUUGUUGGCUUUUUACUUAAAAUAAUAACUUGAAGAGGUAAUGAAUGCCUGUCCACAUCUAUUCCUAUCUGGCCUAGAACAGUUAAUUGGCUGUAAGUGUUUUGACUCUUAAGGCCCUAUGCCUCAGGGAGCCCCACCAAGGGACAGGAUAGACCCAGGGCAGGCAGCCAUGCUGAGAGGUGACAGCGUGCUGGCAGUCCUCGCAGCCCUCGCUUGCUCUCGGUGCCUCCUCUGCCUGGGCUCCCACUUUGGCGGCACUUGAGGAGCCCUUCAGCCCGCCGCUGCACUGUGGGAGCCCCUUCAUGGGCUGGCUGAGGCCGGAGCCGGCUCCCUCAGCUUGCGGGCAGGUGUGGAGGGAGAGGUGCGGGCGGGAACCAGGGCUGCGUGGGCUGCUGGCGGGCCACGGUAGUUCCAGGUG